rnacentral:rRNA from 1 species
CCAGACUCCUACGGGAGGCAGCAGUGAGGAAUAUUGGUCAAUGGGCGAGAGCCUGAACCAGCCAAGUCGCGUGAAGGAUGACGGCCCUACGGGUUGUAAACUUCUUUUGUCAGGGAGCAAUUGGGUCCACGCGUGGGCUUAGCGAGAGUACCUGAAGAAAAAGCAUCGGCUAACUCCGUGCCAGCAGCCGCGGUAAUACGGAGGAUGCGAGCGUUAUCCGGAUUUAUUGGGUUUAAAGGGUGCGUAGGCGGAAUAUCAAGUCAGCGGUAAAAAUUCGGGGCUCAACCCCGUCGUGCCGUUGAAACUGGUUUUCUUGAGUGAGCGAGAAGUAUGCGGAAUGCGUGGUGUAGCGGUGAAAUGCAUAGAUAUCACGCAGAACUCCGAUUGCGAAGGCAGCGUACCGGCUCUACACUGACGCUGAGGCACGAAAGCGUGGGUAUCGAACAGGAUUAGAUACCCCUGUAC